rnacentral:lncRNA from 1 species
AUGAGUCAGUGCUCAUCUCAGGGGUGUAAAAUACAGCAGAUUAGUUCAAUAUCCUUAACAGAAUGUCUCAGCUUCUUCACGGGAGAGUACAACAGUUACUUACUGGGGUUGAAUCUUUGCAGGUUUUCGACGCUGAGUGUCCUGAAGAAGAUGCUGAGAUCAUGGCAAUCAGCAUUCACUGAUGUGUUCUUCUCACUGCAGAUGCUAUGCCCUCCCUGGUCCCCUUGCAUUCCCCAGGCUCUUGUGACACCUUGUGAUCUCGGCCUAUGAAAGGAACACAGCAGGUAUGAGGCCAUACUCCAUGGCAGAGAUCUGGGAGCUUGCCCAUCUGCCUGUGGUCCUUCACUGUAGGGGUGAACAGAUGUCACUCCUCUGUGUGACUCACUUCCAUCAGAGCUCCUGUCCAGCCUGUCUACAACAAGCUAGACCCAAAUGCUUUAAUUAGAGCAUGCUACCAUUACACAGACCACAAAGCAGAGGGGAAAGAGGACACCUAUGAAGUGGUACAGGCUGUGGCAGAACACGGGCUGCUUUCCCUCUGUGUUUGAGCCUAAUUACUGUACUAAGAGUCUAUCUCCGUUGGAGUCGUGGAGCCUUAAGGCUCAGUGCUGAAAGUGGGUAAGUGCCAGCAGCAAAGCAACAGGGUACUCAAUACCAGGACAACAAAAACAUCUUCAUGAAGGCAGUGACCCGCACGACUAAUUAGCUCUGGUAGCAGCAGGACCCAGCUGUGAUGCUGAACACAGAUCUGAAGCUUGAAGAGACGCUGGGCAGCCACAAGCAGUUUGCAAGACUGUGCCAGAGGGAAUAGGGGAAAAUUCUGCUGCGGUGACAUGAAACGGCGCUCCAAAGGUGUCUCAGGCUCUCGUGCCAGCUGGCUGAGUGGUGGCAGAGCUGAGUGAUAGAAACUGAUUUCUGGGAAACAUAAAGAUAUCUAUGCUGAAUAUGGCCCGUUAUGUCCGUUUGCAGCCUUAACGUCAUGACCAUACACAGGCUCCAAUCUUCUGCCCUGUGACCCCAGUCACCUGAUGGAAGGUGAUUUCAUUAGGAUGAGAUUGAGAGAGUAUAUUUUAGAAAAUUCACUAGCUGGGAUGGAGAAACUUAUGCAUUUUCUCAUCUAUCCUUGAGCACCAAACAUGAAGCAGACAACCCAAAUGGCAGAUAUUUUAGCCUUAACUCAUUAUAACCUAAAGUGUACUACAGCCUCCAUAUUGUCUUGAAUGCUGGAGGAUGAGAAUAUAACUCUCACCACAUUUCCACAGAUCUGGUUUUCUGUACAUCAUGUUCUUCUGGGUUUCCACUUCCAUUUUCUACCUAGAGAAAUGAGAACCAUGAGGAACUUCAGUGCUAAAUACUGAUGUUUGCCCAUGCACUCCAAAUGCACCGAUAGGUUAUGAAUGAAGAUGGGUUUAGGUUAAACUGCUUUGUCAGUUUGAAGAUGACAUGCCUUUAGACUCGCAAGAUGAGACAAUUCAAACUUGGCCUUUCCACUCCAUGUACUCCUCCCUGUGUUCUCACAGAAGCUUGUGCAAUUGUCUAUUAAUGUAAAAAGGCACUUUCUUUCCUUUGAUUAUUUAUGUAAUCAGUAGGAAAAGAAACAACAUGAUGAACUAAACUCUGCGGGUCAGCCUCUGAUCACUCUAAUUUGAAUUCUGGAUGAAGAAAUAAUGUCACAGGCAGCCAAUAUCCUGAAAGAGAGAAAAUUCACAGGGAUGUUGACAGGGGACUGGCAAAGAGUUGUCACAGAAGACUUCUCUGGUUAUUUGCUGUCUUUCUCCCUAUGUGUCAUCUGGUCUUUUGCUCCUGAAUUACUAGCUUAGUCUCCCCUGCAUGCAAGGCAGAUGCCUAAUUUGUGGAUAACAACAGGAGUCAUAUCCAAAAUAGAUGCUGAUCUGUUCAGACCUGGAAAAGCUGAGAAACUUCUGUGUAUGUCCAAGAAUACAUUAAUUGCUGCAGGAAUGCUGAUGUUUGACGCUGUGAUGACCACAGAUGCUGAGGUCCCACCUGGUUUCACAAAAGCAGUAGUUUAAAGAUGCUACUUGUGAUGAACUUAAGAUUCAAAAUGAUUUAGUGGUGGUAUGGGCUUGUAAGUAAGUCUGAGCCCUUGGUGUUUCUGUGUAGCAAAGAUGGGAUCAUCUCUGCCUUGCCAGCACUGCUUGCUCGAGGGAAUGGGCUACAGCUUUGCAGUAUUCAGACUGUUGCAGCUCUCAGAAACCAACAGAAGGAGCUUCAAUUAGAAACACAAAGUCCUACACAUUGGACAGAAUCAACCCUGGCAUGGUAAAAGGCUGCCUAAGCCACAGUGUUCCUGGAGAUGCCAUGGAGGAAGAUGAUGUUGGCUGACUGUGGGCCAAUGUUGAGCUCUGGCAGAGUGUUACUGUAGUGUCCUGGGCUAUAUUAAGAGAGCACUGGGCUAUAUUAAGAGAACUCAGAAGUAAGGCUGUGCAACAUCCGCGAUUCAAGAUUUUCAAGUUCGAGCUACACAGGGCCCCAGACCUGGUUAGAUGGUGAGUAGGAAGAUGGAAUCAAAAGACAUCCAGAAGUCUCAUCCAACCAACAACUCAGUGAUUCUGUAAUUUGGACAGUUCUGGGCAUUUCUGUAAGCUGUUAUCUGCAGCACAAAAGCAGUUCCUGGCUUCUGAAAUGAUGAUGAGUCAGACCAGGAAACUAGAACAACAAAAAAAUUGGAGAGCAGAAGUUUUACUCUAAAAGCCAGUGUUCCAGAAGAGUGGAUUAACUUUGUCCAUAAGCUGGUAUAAGGCAAAACACUGUGUGGUAACCAGUACAUACAAGUGGACCAACUGUGCAUCUCUUGUCAUGUUACAAAGAUAUAAGGGAUAAUUUCAGAAGGAAUCUGCUGGAAAGAGACACUACAUGCUGCAGUAGUGAAAAGCUGCAUCUCAACUGACAGCAGAACAAAGCCUUUUUAUGUUCUGAAAUUAUUCUUAUAGAGACCAGGCAGCUGCUCCGUAUGGGGAGCUCCAUUCAACUCUUGACAGUGGUGGUGCUCUGGAUUAAAAUUGUAACAAGACAGAAGAAAAUACCUUGAGGAAAGGAGUCUACAUUAAUUUUACUGUUACUCGGUUUGGGAGUGAGUAGUGUGAGUAGUGCUGAAGUCUCAGUCUUGCAGUUAUCCAAUAGCCCCCAAUUUGCUCUGCAGCAAAGAAGUCUGCUGUCAGCACACAUACACACACACACCACCUUUCAGAUACCUGCUAGCACAUCCAGCUUCCUGUGUGAUUAACACAUUCCUCCAGAGUGGGCAAAAGUAACAUUUCCAGUUUUCACUGUACAACAAAUCUCUGGCUGUAUGGGCUGGCUGCUGCAAUGAGAGCAAGGAGUGCAUUGCCAUGUCGCCUAAUCUUGUGUAUCAAACCAAACAGCAGAUGGAAGCUAUGGUGAACACACAUCAAUAUGCAUGGAUAUGAAACCUAAAAGAGAAAUAAACUUGUAGAUCUCCAUGGAUCUACUUAAAUA